rnacentral:snRNA from 1 species
GGAUAUGAGGGCAAUCUGGCUGUGACAUCUGUCACCUAUUGAUCACCAAGUGGAUUUCGCUGAUCUGGCUGCCCUUCCUCCCUCACUGCUCCAUAUGCAUCCCUCCCAAAGCCGCACACUCUAUCAAAGAAGAUGGCCUUACCUGAUACAGGAGGACUAUUCUUUGGUAAGGAUAUACAAGUAGCAGCGCUCCCCUGCUAGAACCUCUGAACAAGCCCUGAAGGAAGACAGGGAAAAGCCUGCAAAGGAUAGUGUUUAAAACACCAUGAUCACUCCAAUCAGUUUAU